GCUGCUCAAAACUUCACACACCUCUUCGUGGUGAGCAGCAGGCAACGAUCUAUGGAUUGGCGAAGAUGUGAA
rnacentral:ribozyme from 1 species